rnacentral:lncRNA from 1 species
AGAUGUCCAAGGAUUGGAUAUGAUUAAAAUCAGAUUUGAUCUGAUUUUUGCCUCUUCCUCUCUCUCUCAAAAAUGUUCAAGAGUUGGACAUGAUUAAAAUCAGAUUUGAUCUGAUUUUUUCUCUCCUUCUUAGUCUAUGAGAUGGACACAAAAGGUUCUCCUCUAUCUUUCCUAGAUCUAGUCCAAGGGUUGGACAAGAAAGAAAGAAGAAAGAGAUUUGAUCUCUUCUCUUCUUCUGUAGAUCUUGGAUUUUCUCUUGAGA